rnacentral:misc_RNA from 1 species
UGUGAGAGCUGGCUUGCCUGCGAUAGCGCUGGGUCAGCCACCCAUCUGUUGACUGAUACACCGCUAUCGCAGGCAAGCCAGCUCCCACA